UAAUUUGUGAAUUACACAUAUGUAUUUAGUAUAAAGUGAAAAUUUUCCGUUGCUUUUAUUCUCUAAUUAUUUUAUUAUAAACGUAUUCGCAUAUCAUGUCUAAUUAUUGUAUAAUAAUGAAAAUGUGAAAUAAGAUUAAAACCAUCACGCAAUUUCAGUUUACUUGAUGUAAACGAAUCUUAUAAGUAUUUAUGUAAAACAUGCUUGGAAAAUAGUAUACCGAUAAUUGUUUUCUAAUAAUUAACAAUUAUUUUAAGUCAAUUGACAUUUUAUAAUUGUAAGUACCAUUUUGAUCAGUGAUAUUUAUUACAUUAUCAGUUUUAUUUGAUAAGUAAUUAUUAGGCUAGUAUCUUUAAUAGGAUCGUAAGUGGUUAUGUAAGGUGGAUUAGGAAAAUAAUCUAAUU